GAUGAACGCUGGCUACAGGCUUAACACAUGCAAGUCGAGGGGAAACGACGGGGAAGCUUGCUUCCCCGGGCGUCGACCGGCGCACGGGUGAGUAACGCGUAUCCAACCUGCCUCUGACUGAGGGAUAACCCGUCGAAAGUCGGCCUAAUACCUCAUGGCAUCGUCUGCGGGCAUCCAACGACGAUUAAAGAUUUCAUCGGUCAGGGAUGGGGAUGCGUCUGAUUAGCUAGUUGGCGGGGUAACGGCCCACCAAGGCGACGAUCAGUAGGGGUUCUGAGAGGAAGGUCCCCCACAUUGGAACUGAGACACGGUCCAAACUCCUACGGGAGGCAGCAGUGAGGAAUAUUGGUCAAGGGGCGAGAGCCUGAACCAGCCAAGUAGCGUGCAGGAUGACGGCCCUAUGGGUUGUAAACUGCUUUCAUGCGGGGAUAAAGUGAGGGACGUGUCCUUCAUUGCAGGUACCGCAUGAAUAAGGACCGGCUAAUUCCGUG
rnacentral:rRNA from 1 species